rnacentral:rRNA from 1 species
GUAGUCCACGCCGUAAACGAUGGAUACUUGUUGUUAGAGGUAUUGACCCCUCUAGUGACGCAGCUAACGCGUUAAGUAUCCCGCCUGGGGAGUACGGUCGCAAGAUUAAAACUCAAAGAAAUUGACGGGGGCCCGCACAAGCGGUGGAGCAUGUGGUUUAAUUCGAUGCAACGCGAAGAACCUUACCUAGGCUUGACAUGUACUGGAAUGGUGGUGGAGACACCCCAGCCCGCAAGGGUCGGUACACAGGUGCUGCAUGGCUGUCGUCAGCUCGUGUCGUGAGAUGUUGGGUUAAGUCCCGCAACGAGCGCAACCCUUACCUUUAGUUGCCAGCAUUUAGUUGGGCACUCUAAUGGGACUGCCUGCGUUAAGCAGGA